rnacentral:tRNA from 1 species
GCCUGGCUGUCUCAGUUGGAAGAGCAUGAGACUCUUAAUUCCAGGUCUGUGAGUUCAAGCCUCACAUUGGGCA